AACAAGGAGAAAGAUUUGCUGUUCUCAGACGAUCCUGCUCAUUUGGAACGCACCAUCCCUAGAGGUCGACGUUCAACAUCGCUCGACGCAACAACAUCGUCGCCGAUCGAUACGCACAACAAACCGUCGACCGACACAAGACCAUCAUCGUCGAUCGAUCCCAAUCGUUCGACAACGAUCGAUACUACACCGCGUACGACGAUCGAUACCAUGUUGUCAAAAAUGGUAAACAUUAUAAUUCUAACACAGGACAAGAA
rnacentral:lncRNA from 1 species